rnacentral:rRNA from 1 species
CUUGGUCAUUUAGAGGAAGUAAAAGUCGUAACAAGGUAACCGUAGGUGAACCUGCGGUUGGAUCAUUACAAAAUUGUGAUUGUGGUUCUCCUAGAGACCACGAAUCCAAACACCUUGUGAACUGUUUUCGUAUUUGGCAAGUGAUGCAAUGCUUUGGUUUACUCUUAUGUGAGCUCAAGCGUUAGCAGAGUUUCGACAUGGCAAAUUGCCUUGUUUGAAAGCUUGCCCAUUAUUUUAAACCAAUAUUGUAUUAUCAGUCUGAUCGUUCUAUAUAACGAAAAUUGUUAAACAACUUUUGGCAACGGAUCUCUUGGCUCUCGCAACGAUGAAGAACGCAGCGAAAUGCGAUACGUAUCAUGAAUUGCAGAACUCUGAAUGAUAAAUGUUUGAACGCAUAUUGCGCCAGCUUCUGGUUGGCAUGUCUGUCUGAGAAUCUUAAAGUUUCUCUUCAAAAACAAGUUUUGUUUUUGGAGGCAAUUGACGGAUCUACGUGAUUAGUAGACUGUUGAAAUGAAAAAAACACUUACAAUCGUGUUUUGUAUGUGUUAGUACUUUUGACAAACUCGAAAGCAACCAACACAUACUGAACCAUCUUAAACUUGGUCUCAGAUCAGACAGGAGGACCCGCUGAACUUAAGCAUAUCAAUAAGCGGAGGAAAAGAAACUAACAAGGAUUCCCUUAGUAACGGCGAGUGAAGUGGGAAUAGCUCAAAUUUUAAAUCUACCUUCGGGUCGAAUUGUAGUUUCGAGAAGUGUUUUCGGAUUUGGUGCAAGUCAAAGUCCCCAGGAUUUGGGCAUCACAGAGGGUGACAAUCCCGUGAAUGACUUGCGACUAGGUCUUUGUGAUACACUUUCAAAGAGUCAGGUUGUUUGGGAAUGCAGCCUAAAAUGGGUG